rnacentral:rRNA from 1 species
GAUGAACGCUGGCGGCGUGCUUAACACAUGCAAGUCGAGCGAAAAGACGAGGAGCUUGCUCCUCUGACGUUAGCGGCGGACGGGUGAGUAACACGUGGAUAACCUACCUAUAUGACUGGGAUAACUUCGGGAAACCGGCGCUAAUACCGGAUAAUAUAUUGCACCGUAUGGUUCAAUAGUGAAAGACGGUUUUGCUGUCACUUAUAGAUGGAUCCGCGCCGCAUUAGCUAGUUGGUAAGGUAACGGCUUACCAAGGCAACGAUGCGUAGCCGACUUGAGAGGGUGAUCGGCCACACGGGAGGUGAAACACUGUCAAGACGACUACGAGAGGCAGCAGUAGGGAAUCUGACGCAAUGGGCGAGAACCUGACGGAGCAACGCCGCGUGGGUGAUGAAGGUCUUCGGAUCGGAAAACUCUGUUAUGAGGGAUGAACAAAUGUGUAAGUAACUAUGCACGUCUUGACGGUACCUAAUCAGAAAGCCACGGCUAACUACGUG